GACGCGAUUUUUUGUAAAAUUGUGGCAAGUUGUGGUCAAGAAGGCUUUCAAGCGUUUCGUUCAAGAUUCCUACACAUGAUAGAUAGUUUUCAUGCGUGGCAAGUUUUUCGAUGAAUGUUAAUUGUUGGCGUUGGGCAUAUUCACAAAGAGGGACAACAUUUGACGCAGUAUAAAUGACUUCCAAUUCUUUGGCCACUGUUGGGGAAAUAGAGAACCGGAUCGGAAAUCCAUAGAUCAAACGUGGACGGAUUGCUACCUUGUAGAGAAUGAAUUUUGUUUUUUGAAGUAGGUGUUUAUUGUUUAACACAUAUGCCAUCCAAGGACAGUUGUAGUGAUUUGCUCUCUGGGACAACGUACCAUGGGCAUUUUCCGGAUCCGUUACUUAUUCAGAUUGCAACAGACUUCGCGGUGUUUAUUUGAAUACCCCACUUUUUGUAGUAGCUGUUAAUGCUCUGAAGGUGAUUUUUUGCGUUAUUUAAUGCAAUUGACGGUGAUGUAUGAUGCGCUUAAAUGAGGCAAUCAUCGGCGUAUAAAAUUGCUUUUGAAUUUUGACUGAUGUGAGGGAAGUCGUGAAGGAAUAGAUUGAACAGAAAUGGAGCUAAAAUACUGCCUUGUGGGACUCCGCUAUUUACUUCUCCCGUAGGUGAUGAUGCGGCAUUUAUAUGGACGGAAAACGUUCUUGAUGUGAAGAAACUUUUCAUAAUUUUUAUUAAGUAUGGGUCAAUGCCAAUUUCUAUUAACUUGUAAAUAAUUCCGACGUGACAUAUUGAGUCAAAUGCUCUUUGAAUGUCUUACGAUAUUGCCACGGUACUCAUUUUGUUCGCAAAUUAGAGGUUAUAUCGUUAUGGAACAACUUUUCCCAAUGUUGGACAACAACGAAAUUGGCCGAAAGUCAUCAACAAACGCAGCAUUCGGCUUUUUUUAAUUGGAAUGAUUUGGGCGCGUUGUAUUGGAAAAUACCCAUUGUUGAUGCAAUUGUUGAACAGACAAGUGAAAAAUCUUAGGCUGGAAAUACAUAAAGCGCAUAUUUGGCUGGCUUAAGUCAUCGGCUGGCUUCUUCGUAGAUGAACAAAGGAGUUUUAGGUUGACCUAGUUCGAUUUUAGCCCUAGGCUCCUUUGUUCAUUUCGGAAGAAGCCAGCCGAUGACUUUAGCCAACCGAAUAAGCGCUUUAUGUAUUCCCAGCUUUAUUGUUGCGUCCGGAAAUUUUUAAAUUAUAAAGUUUGAUAUGCCAUCGGAUCCACAAGAUCUUUUUGAAUUGGUAGUAGCAAUAACACUCUUUACUUUUUCAGGAGUAGUAAAGUGAUGGGAGUCGGGAUUGUUCAGGAUACUAAAUUCGUCAUUGAAAGUGUAAAUGUAAGGUGUUGUGGUGUCAAUACACGAUGAAACCCUGGAAUUCAGAUCGUGAACUGGAUGUAGAGGCAAUUUCUCUAGGAAAAUUGAAGAAUAAAAUAACUGGAACUUAUUUGCAAUUUCAUAGUUGUUUGUAAUAGUACUGUCGCCGUGUUGAAGUUUUUGACAAAAAGAUGAGUUUGUUUUUUUAGUAAAUUGGGGAAUUUUUUUGAAUGCUGAUGGUCCGGGUUUAAUUUUUUUCAGCUUGUUGCUAAAUAUGUUGGCAGAUUCUAUAUUUAUGAGCUCCUUUAUUAUGUUUUUAAGUAAUUGAACUUGUUUUGAGAGAAUUAUGUACUCACUGUUGAUUCUGUUUCCUGUACGGUGGAAAAUUUUUUUCAGUUCUUUCUGCCAUUGGUGUUUGACUUUAAGAAAGUUUUUAGUUUUUUCGGAAAGAGGGAAUUUUUCGUCAUUUAUGAAUAUCUUUUCUGAAUGAGAGCUGUGAAUGCUGUUAAAUUCAUUGUUGAAGUUCUCGAUGAUCAUUUCAAUCUCAUUGUUUUCGAGGUUUUUAUUUGUCGGUGGCAUAAUUUGUUGUGUUAUUGUCUCCAAAUUUCUACGAAAAUCAUACCAGUUUGUAUUUUUGUAAGAUGUGAAGAAUUUUGGUUGCUUCAGAACUAGAUUGGAACCAUCGAGUUUCAAAGAAAGUUUUAUUGGAAAAUGAAAAGGUCGGCAGCGAAGAUAUGUGGUAGUUUUGAAUUCCAUGGUUUAUUAGAUGUGGGCUGAUUAAGAAAUGGUCCAAGAAAAACGGUCCAUUUGGGUACGACGGCGAGGUGUCACAAAGCCGAGUGACAUCUAAGGAGUUGUUGCUUAGCCACGAAUUCAAAACUUUACCAUUUGAGUUUUCGUUCAAAUCACCCCAUACAGGAUUUUUGGAGUUAAGGUCACCACCGAUGAUAAAUCCAUCAAAAGGAGUACAGAAUUCCAGAAGUUUAUUUAGAUCUGCUUCGAGUCUGUUGACAGGAUAACUACAAGGUAUAUAUACCGUGCCAAUCAAGAACAUUUUAGGUCCGUUGUUUGAAGAAAUUUCUACUUGUAUGAAAGAAGUAUUAAUGCCAAUAUCGUUUUUUAUUCGAGUGAAAGUUAUGUCAUUUUUCACUAUCACUGCUGUUCCAAUAGGUGUUCGAAGGUGGCAUUCUUGAACAAGAGCAAAGUCAAUUUUUUCGCUGUGGAGAAUAUUUUUCAUCGCUAUUUGACGACUCGCUUCAACAAGUGAGCGAACAUUGAAUGUUAGGAAUGUUAUGAGCCUAUGGUCCAUAAUUAGUCCUAAGGCUGGAAAUACAUAAAGAGCAUAUUUGGUUUUCUUUGCAAUUUCAAUAACGUUGUUUGCUCUCAAAAUUAGGUA